AUUGAACGCUAGCGGGAUGCUCUACACAUGCAAGUCGAACGGCAGCGCGGACUUCGGUCUGGCGGCGAGUGGCGAACGGGUGAGUAAUGUAUCGGAACGUGCCCAGUAGCGGGGGAUAACUACGCGAAAGCGUAGCUAAUACCGCAUACGCCCUACGGGGGAAAGCAGGGGAUCGUAAGACCUUGCACUAUUGGAGCGGCCGAUAUCGGAUUAGCUAGUUUGUGAGGUAACGGCUCACCAAGGCGACGAUCCGUAGCUGGUUUGAGAGGACGACCAGCCACACUGGGACUGAGGCAGCUCCCAGACUCCUACGGGAGGCAGCAGUCGGGAAUUUUGGACAAUGGGGGCAACCAUGCUCCAGCCGUCCCGCGUGUGCCAUGAAGGCCUUCGGGUUGUAGAGCACUUUUGGCAGGACAGAAACGUCGCGGGCUAAUACCCAGUGGCACUGACGGUACCUGCAGAAUAAGCACCGGCUAACUACGUG
rnacentral:rRNA from 1 species